rnacentral:rRNA from 1 species
GGUGGUAAUGCCGGAUGCUCCAGUUGAUCGCAUGGUCUUCUGGGAAAGCUUUCGCGGUAUGGGAUGGGGUCGCGUCCUAUCAGCUUGACGGCGGGGUAACGGCCCACCGUGGCUUCGACGGGUAGCCGGCCUGAGAGGGCGACCGGCCACAUUGGGACUGAGAUACGGCCCAGACUCCUACGGGAGGCAGCAGUGGGGAAUAUUGCACAAUGGGCGCAAGCCUGAUGCAGCGACGCCGCGUGAGGGAUGGAGGCCUUCGGGUUGUAAACCUCUUUUAUCGGGGAGCAAGCGAGAGUGAGUUUACCCGUUGAAUAAGCACCGGCUAACUACGUGCCAGCAGCCGCGGUAAUACGUAGGGUGCAAGCGUUAUCCGGAAUUAUUGGGCGUAAAGGGCUCGUAGGCGGUUCGUCGCGUCCGGUGUGAAAGUCCAUCGCUUAACGGUGGAUCCGCGCCGGGUACGGGCGGGCUUGAGUGCGGUAGGGGAGACUGGAAUUCCCGGUGUAACGGUGGAAUGU